rnacentral:rRNA from 1 species
UACGUAGGGUGCAAGCGUUGUCCGGAAUUAUUGGGCGUAAAGAGCUCGUAGGCGGUUUGUCGCGUCUGCUGUGAAAUCCCAGGGCUUAACCCUGGGCCUGCAGUGGGUACGGGCAAACUAGAGUGCGGUAGGGGAGAUCGGAAUUCCUGGUGUAGCGGUGAAAUGCGCAGAUAUCAGGAGGAACACCGGUGGCGAAGGCGUCUUCCUGGACACCAACUGACGCUGAGACGCGAAAGCGUGGGGAGCAAACAGG